rnacentral:lncRNA from 1 species
UUUUGUUGUCUAACAUGUUUUCCUUUCAAGGUUGUGUUGUGUUGUAUAAUUAGAUAAAAAUAAUGAGUUAGAUAAGGUUUUUGUUCACAUCUAUAAAUCAAUUUCUUUGCCAUUUCUGUAAUAUUUAUGCUCUAGUAUGAGAUUGUGUCAUAUGCAAUUUUCUUUGUGUCAUCUUACCUUUAAAAAAUCAUGAUUGUUAAGGAAAGUAUUUGCCGUCCACAAUGUUAC